UAGAAAGUGCUGUCUGGGUGUUGAACUACU
rnacentral:piRNA from 1 species